GAGAAAAUGAAGAAUGCUUAAAUACCAAGCUAAAAAUACUAUCGCUUAUAGGGUAAGAAUGAGCAAAAUCAAACCCUUUACAAUAAGAGAAGGGGUGUCUAUUUAUAGGGUACAAAGGCUAAAGGCUGGCUCUCGACCAAUAGAAUAGCAUUAUUCCCUGAUGCCUAUAGUACCGUACCCAAUGACCUUUGGCCACUUGUUCUUGAACCGUCGGGGAGUGCCAACCCAGUACUGCGCGUCUGGUGCGGUAUAAUCGAGAGUUGUUUGUACACCUGAAUAGUCCGACACACUAUCCCAUCGCUGGUUCUCUGGACUACUUUUGUUUCCGUCUGAGUGGUCACUCCUCGUGUCGAACUCAUUCCCGAGAUAAUGCCCUCGUGGGUCGGUCGGUUCCAUUUGUACCCGACCCGACUUGGUGCAAUCCUCACUUAAGUCAUUUU
rnacentral:lncRNA from 1 species